CGAAAGGAAGGAUCUUGGUCUCUUGAAGAGGGUCAAAAGCGGGCUGCCCCACACCACAGGCGCCGCCAUCUUAGCAGCCUCCAGGUGCAUUGUGGGAACCCGUGACGUCGAACUGAGUCCCGGAUGAAGCCUUGGCUUAAGCGCCGAAUGUUGGAGGCGGCCCGCACAGUGUGGGUGACCGUUCGGCCCACACUAUCCUGUUUACCCGGUCAACAUCUGUGCCUCAGGCUUGCUGCACUGCUCCAGGGAAGCUCAGCACAAGCUGGAAAAGCAAACACCUCACUUUCUUUUCGAGUGCCCUGCAACCUUUUGGACUCAAUGAACUCAGUAAUUUCAGGGCCCGACCCCUUCUCCUACAUCCCCACCCACGCACACGCCAGACCUUGUCAUCACAUGAGCUGCAACCACAAACAACCCAUUGCCACUACUAAUAGUCCAUGGACUGGAAGGCCCGGGUACAAGUCCCAUCAACUUCAGAGGUAUCAUCUCCACCUAUCGUUUACUCGCUGCCUGUCCUGCCACUCUAUCUUCAACAUAUAGAGAAAUAGUUAGUGGAUAGCCAGAGACUUUUUCCCAGGGUGGAAAUGACUAUUACGAGGGGACAUAAUUUUAAGGUGAUUGGAGGGUAUAGGGGAGAUGUCAGAGGUAGGUUAUUUACACAGAGAGUGGUGGGCGUGUGGAAUGAGCUGCUGGCAGUGGUAGUGGAGUCAGAUACUUUAAAGACUUCUAAGCGACUCUUGGAUAGGCACAUGGAGGAUAGUAAAAUGUAGGGUAGUUUGAUCUUAGUAGGAGAAUAAGUCAACACAGCGUCAUGGGCCGAAGGGCCUGUACUGUGCUGUACUGUUCUAUGUUCUAUACCAAUUUUUUUCCUGGCUACAUUGACUUCAGAAGAAGGGUCACUGGACCCAAAACAUGAACUCUGCUUUCUCUCCACAGAUGCUGCCAGACCUGCUGAGUUUUCUCAGCAACUUCUGUUUUUCUUUCUCAUUUCCAGCAUCCUCAGUACUUUUGUUUUUCUUUUGUUCAGCAGUUCAACUGUUGGAGACAUCGAACUGUACUCAAGGUACUGGCUGGCUUGCCCUAGUCAUGUAAGCUCUUCCUCUGUUGUGUCACCUUUGUCUGUGACAACCAUUAAACACCUCCCUUGAAACAUGGUGUUGGGAAUUUGUGCAUCUUUAGAGCUGUAACAGAGUCACCUACAAACCAGCUGCAAGAAAGGCAGGAAGAAUUGUCCAACUGAAAACCUAUGUAUUUCCUAUGCUGUAAAAGAGCCAACUGCUGAAAGAAACAGCAAGGAAGAAGUUAGCAAGUACAAUCGUAUAGUUACAGUCAUUAAGUAUUGAUGCCAAAACAUGAGUUCAAUUGUUAGACUGGCUGAGAUUACCAUGAAGGACUCUGCUCAAACUCUGCCCUCACCUGAGGUAUGGUGACCCUAUCUCUGAUGUAGAGCACUCCUGGGGUCCUCUAGGAUGAUGCUGACUUUCCAGCAUGGAAAGAGGCCCUUCACUGCAGCUUAUCUACCUUCUAGUCCAAUUUCAUUUGCUCGUAGCCUUGUAUGCUAUGUCAUUUUAAGUUUUCACCUAAUACAUUCCUUUAUUUCAAAGACUGGAAUAUAAAGUCUUGCUAAAACAAUGUAAGGCACUGGUCAGACCACCGCUGGUAUUCUGUGCAUGAUUUUGGUACCCUUAUUUAAGGAAAGAUGAACUGGCAUUGAAGGCAAUCCAGAGAUAUUUCACUAGAUUAAUCGUGGGUAUGGAAGGAUUUUCCCAUGAGGAGAGAUUGAGUAGGUUGGGGUUUUGUAUUCACUGAAGUUUAGCAGAAUGAAAGGAGAUUUUAUAGAAACAUACAAGGUCAUUAGAGGGUCUGCCUGGGUAGAUGCAGAGAGGUUGUUUCCCCUUGUGGAAGAGUCACAGAAGACAUAAGGAGUGACCUAUUUAAAUGGGAUGACAAGUUUUUUUCUGAAGGUGGUGAAUCUGUGGAAUUCUUCAUUGCAGACAGUUGGGUUGUUAAGCAUUUUCAAGGCUGAGAUAAACAGAUUUCUAAUCAUUAAGGAAAUCAAGGCCAUGGGGAUAAGGCAGGAAAGUAUAGUCGAGGAUGAUCAGAUCAGCCAUGGUCUCAUUCAGUGGCAGUGCAGACUCAAUAGACUGAAUGCCCUAGUUUUACUCCCAAAUCUUACAGUAUAAAUAUUGUGUCGUAUCCCACCUCUACCAUGUCUUCAGGCAGUGAGUUCCAGAUAAUCUUGAAUUUCUGGGUGAGUCAAAUGAGGUAAUAUUGGGAGUUACACCAGCUGACAGCAACGAUUACCAGUGAGGUUGUAGAAUGCCUAAAAGCACACUUCAGUUAUUACAACAUUCAAUAAUUGUGAUGAGUAACAAUAGCUCGCACACUUCCUAAAGGGUUGGGGAAUUCAAUACAAUACAUAAUCACCACACUAUACCAAAUUUAGUGGAAAGUCAGAGGCAGCCGUGAAAAUCACCAAAGGCACCAAGAAGAAAUCCAACACAAAUUUAUGCAAACAACUCGUGAUUGGAGGAAUACAUUUACUGAAGGCAUGAAAAAUAGUCCAAUCCAAAGAUUAAUGUCACACCAUACCCAAACCACAUACGGCAGAAAGACUUACAAACCAGAAAUGAAUGAAAAAAUCAAGGUGAAACAACAGAAGGUCAUUUACAAGAACUGAGCUAUGGAUAGCCAGUCAGAAAGCUCAAUAAGUGUCGGCCCAUAUAGCAAUUUGGGACUUGUGCUGAGCAGUUUUCAUCUAGAAUGUACAAGGUGAAUGGAAACAACCAAAUAUGUUCUAAGAACUGCAGACACAUCCUAACACCUAGAGAAGCUGGUCAGUCACUGCAGGCACUUCUGUUGCUGGUCUCACUACUGGCAUAGAGCACAGAAUAUCAUCAGUCCCAGAGGUCCACUGUCACCAGCAACAGAAAUGAAUCACCAACAACAGUUACAGUGGUAACAGCACUUCCCACAGGAAAUACACUUCCUGAAGAAGGAAUAUCAACCUAGCAACGAGCAGAUAUCAGAGAACAGCCAUGAACAAUAUGCAUGUAGACCACUGGGAGACCUGCAUGAUUAUCGGUGCAAUGCAUGUGCAGAGACUUACAAAAGUUGAACUGACUGGAAUUAACUCACUGUUAAUGAUUGAUCAUUUUCUUUGUGAUCAUGUAAAUUGGGUGGCUUGCAUGACUCAUAACUGUAAAUGAUAGUGCAUGUGUUUCAUUUUAUGUAAAAAAGGGGAUAUUUGAAACGAUGCAAUUGUAUUUAGUGUGCUGGCUAGUUUGCCGUUGUGUGACCUCUAUCUCCACUGUCGUUAUCUUUGUGCAGUUUGUACAAAGCAGCAAUUAAACACAUCACUUGAAA